rnacentral:rRNA from 1 species
CCUACGGGUGGCAGCAGUGGGGCAUAUUGCACAAUGGGGGAAACCCUGAUGCAGCGACGCCGCGUGUGGGAAGACGGUCCUCUGGAUUGUAAACCACUGUCCCCAGGGACGAAGAUGACGGUACCUGGGGAGGAAGCUCCGGCUAACUACGUGCCAGCAGCCGCGGUAAUACGUAGGGAGCGAGCGUUGUCCGGAAUUACUGGGUGAAAAGGGAGCGGAGGCGGGACUGCAAGUUGGGUGUCAAAUCUACCGGCUCAACCGGUAGCCGCACUCAAAACUGCAGGUCUUGAGUGAAGUAGAGGCAGGCGGAAUUCCUAGUGUAGCGGUGAAAUGCGUAGAUAUUAGGAGGAACACCAGUGGCGAAGGCGGCCUGCUGGGCUUUUACUGACGCUGAGGCUCGAAAGUGUGGGGAGCAAACAGGAUUAGAUACCCGGGUAGUC